rnacentral:rRNA from 1 species
UACGGAGGGGGCUAGCGUUGUUCGGAAUUACUGGGCAUAAAGCGCGCGUAGGCGGCUUUGUAAGUUAGAGGUGAAAGCCCGGAGCUUAACUCCGGAACUGCCUUUAAGACUGCAUCGCUAGAAUCGUGGAGAGGUGAGUGGAAUUCCGAGUGUAGAGGUGAAAUUCGUAGAUAUCAGGAGGAACACCAGUGGCGAAGGCGGCUUCCUGGACACCAACUGACGCUGAGACGCGAAAGCGUGGGGAGCAAACAGG